rnacentral:rRNA from 1 species
GACGAACGCUGGCGGCGUGCUUAACACAUGCAAGUCGAACGGAAAGGCCCUGCUUUUGUGGGGUGCUCGAGUGGCGAACGGGUGAGUAACACGUGAGUAACCUGCCCUUGACUUUGGGAUAACUUCAGGAAACUGGGGCUAAUACCGGAUAGGAGCUCCUGCUGCAUGGUGGGGGGUGGAAAGUUUCGGCGGUUGGGGAUGGACUCGAGGCUUAUCAGCUGGUUGGUGGGGUAGUGGCUUACCAAGGCUUUGACGGGUAGCCGGCCUGAGAGGGUGAGCGGCCUCAUUGGGACUGAGAUACGGACCAGACUCCUACGGGAGGCAGCAGUGGGAAGUAUUACACAGUGGGCGGAAGCCUGAUGCAGAGACGCCGCGUGCGGAAAGCCGGCCUUCGGGUUGUAAACCGCUUUCGCCUGUGACGAAGAGUGAGUGACGGUAAUGGGUAAGAAAGCACCGGCUAACUACGUG